AUGCUCAUGAAUUUGGCUGCAAUUCACAGAUGCAAUCUUUUGGAACCUGCCCCUGCUAGAGGCACCCAGCCCACAGCCCCAAGUGGAGUUGCCUCCGUCCCCGGCAAGGGGCUCCAGCUGGAGCUUGAGGAGAUGCUGGUCCCCAGGAAGAUGUCUGUCAGUCCUCUGGAGAGCUGGCUGACCGCGCACUACCUCCUACCCAGACUAGCGGCCAGGGCCCCAGGGCCGGUGGCUCCAUCCCUGCUCUAUGAGUGUCCACCCAGCCCAGUGGGGUUAGGGGCCGAGCAGGGGAUGGAGGAGGUCUCAGAUGCCCCUGGGAUGCAGUGCAAGAACGUGCUGAAGAUUCGCAGGCAGAAGAUGAAUCAUCACAAGUACCGGAAUCUGGUCAAGAUGACCCGGUUCCUGCGGCGGAAGGUGCGGGAAGGACGCCUGAAACGGAAGCAGAUCAAGUUCGAGCGAGACCUGAGAUGCAUCUGGCUGAAGUCAGGCCUGAAGGAGGCCCCUGCAGGCUGGCAGACCCCCAAGAGCUACCUGAAGAGCAAAUGAGGCUAGUGCUGCUCUUUCCCACCUCUGUUGCUGCCGAUGACCCACUAAUAAAUGUUCAGGAACU